AUGAUUCAUCGUUUAUAUAUUAGUUGGAUAGUAUCUCUUUAUUCGGUUCUUGUGACUGACCUGCUGCUUUACUUAUAUGGACAGCUUAAACUGAAAUCAAUGCAUGGUAUUGUUCAAUUCGAAGUGUACUUGACGUGUGCAGAUCUGAGGAUAAAGGGAAGAAGACGGAAUUUAGCUGAGGAGUUGAAUAGGAUCAAGGUUAUUAUUCCACAAUCAUUUGUUGGGUUUAAGGAUAUAAACAACAUGGCUUACGAGGAUUUGGACUGCUGUUCUUUUAGUUCCACUCUUAAAUCUUUUGGUUCUUGA
rnacentral:rRNA from 1 species